rnacentral:tRNA from 1 species
GUUUGAUUAGUUUAAGUAAAAUAGAGGCUUUGUAAGUUUAAGAUUCUAGGAAAAAAAGAAUGAAAUAU